rnacentral:misc_RNA from 1 species
AAACUGGUAUUCACAACUUUUUGGCUAGGAUUUGCCAAGGUGGGGAUGAAGACGGUGAUAUAAGAAAGCAAGGUUGAAUGGAAUUGAUUGAUGAUUCAUAUGGUGCUCUGUUGUUGCUAAAUCAUUUUGUUUCAGGGCUUUUUGUCCAUGUCCUUGUAAAGUUUGCAAUGAAAUUAGUCUCCAGAAGACAGCCAUUAGUUAUCCAGUCUGAUGAUUUUCUCACUUCUUUUCUG